GGGGUUAUAGUUAAUAAAUAACAUUUAAUUUGCAUUUAAAAGUUACCUAAUAUAAAGGUUUACCUCA
rnacentral:tRNA from 1 species